rnacentral:rRNA from 1 species
GAUGAACGCUGGCGGCGUGCCUAAUACAUGCAAGUCGAGCGAACAGAUGAGGAGCUUGCUCCUCUGACGUUAGCGGCGGACGGGUGAGUAACACGUGGAUAACCUACCUAUAAGACUGGGAUAACUUCGGGAAACCGGAGCUAAUACCGGAUAAUAUAUUGAACCGCAUGGUUCAAUAGUGAAAGACGGUUUUGCUGUCACUUAUAGAUGGAUCCGCGCCGCAUUAGCUAGUUGGUAAGGUAACGGCUUACCAAGGCGACGAUGCGUAGCCGACCUGAGAGGGUGAUCGGCCACACUGGAACUGAGACACGGUCCAGACUCCUACCGGAGGCAGCAGUAGGGAAUCGUCCGCAAUGGGCGAAAGCCUGACGGAGCAACGCCGCGUGAGUGAUGAAGGUCUUCGGAUCGUAAAACUCUGUUAUUAGGGAAGAACAAAUGUGUAAGUAACUAUGCACGUCUUGACGGUACCUAAUCAGAAAGCCACGGCUAACUACGUG